CCAAGCCCUGUACCGAUGCUGGCAUAGGCGAAGGACAUGAUUGCUGCUGUGACGGAGAGCCACUCGGUGUUCCGGAAAUCAGAAAUACCUCAUGCUUAGGGAGGAUGUAAUAGUGUAGACAAUGCCCAGCUUGAUGAAAUUUAUCCGAACAAUAACACCACACACAUAUGCAUUCUUCUUCCCUGGAUACAAUACAGCAUCCAGGUAUGACCCAUUUCUGUACAACACGCCAGUGUUGGGAUCACUCCAUUUGUAGCAAUUGCAGAGUAGAAGGGCGGAGGCUAGGGUAACCGAUGAGAAUGCGAGCAUGGUGAAGGGGCCGGCAAUCCAUCCGAGCUGGGACAAGCUCCAUCCCAACGUCAGCACGCCGGAUCCGAUCACGGCGGUGAUGAUGUGGGCCAGAGCAGUCCACACGGUGCCUGAUCGCUCGCCGGGAAUAGGAUGAUCACACAUAUCCCCCAAAUCACAAGGAGGCUGGGUCACUGCCUGAGCUGUAAAUCAAGGUAUGUGACUUCUGAACUAGAACCUACUUAAUGCACUGAUUUCAUGCCACGAUUACGCUGAUCAAGAACAGGGAAUGGGUAAUUGGGGAUUUGUUUUUAACUUUAGUGAUGAUAAUUGAAUUAGAAAUAAAGAUGGGGAAAAUGUAAAAGACAUGAUUGUGUUUUCACAGGGACAGAGUUGGAGGAUGUUGGGCUAAUAGAGGGUUUGCUCAUCACGGUUAAAAAAGGAACCCUAGAAUGAUUUGCAGACAAGUAAUUAGAGCAGAAGACUUCUUGGUAGUAAUGGAGAAUUGGACUAACCUCUUCUGUAUGAAUGAAGCAGCAUAAUUUGAGAAGACAUGAUGUACUUACAGAAGAAGAAGAAAAAGGAAAAUAGUUAAAUGAAUAGUGAUGAGUUCGGGGGGUGCCUAUGCUGCUGUUAUUUUUAUUUCCAUGGCAGGACACAGACUAUAGUGACGUUAAAGGGACUUACUCGGGACUAACAAUGUUUGACCUCUAGAAUCUGUAGUGUAGGAGAUAUUUGUCUGACAUUAAGAUAUUUUUGAAUUUAUUGGAACCAUAGAUAGAUAUAUACAUUUGUUUAGUAUUUGUCCAUCCAUCCUGACCUGACCUGACCCAAUGUUUUUACAAUAAUUUGUGGUCCGAAUGAAUGAUUAUUUAACAGGACCAAAAAGUGCAGCUAUGACCCCUUCAACAGAUCCCACAAAAGCAAACAAUGCUAUCACAAAACACCCAAAGCUAAAACCCCUUAGGACAAGCCACUCCGUUGUCCAGGCUUCAAUCCCUUUCCUCCUCAGACACAUCUCCACUGGAAAAUAUAUGGCUAAGGGCCAGAAAGAUAGUGCCCCAAGAAUUCCCAAAACCUCAUUGAAGAAAGGAAAAAUUACUGCAAUAGCAGUUCCUGAGGCAACAUAAGCUGUCCUGAAACAUACCCUCUGAAGGCUUAUCUUCAGAUCAGGCAACAAUGGCAGUUUUAGAAUGUAGGUUUUGGUUACAAAUGAGUUGUCCGGGAAAUGCUCCCCCAUCCAGUUUUCGGCUGCUGCAAAUAGCGGCUGAGAAUACACCUGAAGAGAGGGUCGAAAAAGGGUAGUAUUGAAUAAUGAACUGAUUAAGCUUAAUCGAACCUUGUUCAGCUUAUAGUGUAAAGUAACAUCAGUGUAGAUAUGAUCUUGGACAUACAUACAUACCUGGUAGCCUCCGACUAAGUGGAGGACGAUGCAUGCAUUGGCAAAGUCGAUGAGCCAGUAGGGCUCGUAGAAGCCAAAACCUGUCAAGAUAUUACCGGGCGUUUGAUCGCCAAAUGCUGCAUACCCAAAGCCUCCACAGCCAAGAUAGUAAAACGUUGUGAGAGCAAUAGAUAUUACUGAUGCUCGCUUCAUAGUCCUGUUCUCAGGUGGCGGAGAUUUCAACGUAUCCUUCAAGAAAAAACAACCACAAGUGUGCACGACCGGUUCCAAGAUUGUAAGUUUUCUUUAUGUAAGAAUUAGACCUGUUAUAGUUCUUCCAAAACUUGUUGUUUUAUCGUUCCCAUCGACUCUACAAUGUGAAAGAAAAUCUAUUGCUGUUUACCUGUAUAGCAAGGACAAGGACGGAAAAAGGAUAGGCGAAAGCAAUGUCGCCUACUGCCUGAGAAACCAGCCAUAGCUUCUGACUGCCGGGAGAAUCCAUAACUCCAAAGAAAGAGGAUGGAUGAUGCACCAAUGGCUUUGGAAGCGCCUAAUCCGAGCCCAAUGGAGGCAUAAGAGAAGGACAUAACCGCAGCAACGGAGGAUAGCCACUC